rnacentral:snoRNA from 1 species
UCCCUUUCGGGGUCGCACCUGGAGAGUUUCCAGUCCUCUACCAGUCACGACUACAGGAGGGAGAGUCAAGCAGAGACCCGUCCCUUCCAUUCCUAGCUUGACCAGUGGCUAGCGAGUGGAAGGCCAUCUGCUACAAGU